rnacentral:rRNA from 1 species
GACGAACGCUGGCGGCGUGCUUAACACAUGCAAGUCGAACGGAAAGGCCCUGCUUUUGUGGGGUGCUCGAGUGGCGAACGGGUGAGUAACACGUGAGUAACCUGCCCUUGACUUUGGGAUAACUUCAGGAAACAGGGGCUAAUACCGGAUAGGAGCUCCUGCUGCAUGGUGGGGGUUGGAAAGUUUCGGCGGUUGGGGAUGGACUCGCGGCUUAUCAGCUUGUUGGUGGGGUAGUGGCUUACCAAGGCUUUGACGGGUAGCCGGCCUGAGAGGGUGACCGGCCACAAUGGGACUGAGAUACGGCCCAGACUCCUACGGGAGGCAGCGGUGGGGAAUAUUACACAAUGGGCGGAAGCCUGAUGCAGCAACGCCGCGUGCGGGAUGACGGCCUUCGGGUUGUAAACCGCUUUCGCCUGUGACGAAGCGUGAGUGACGGUAAUGGGUAAAGAAGCACCGGCUAACUACGUG